UUCAUACUGCACCUGCCUGAAGCCUUAAGGCAUACCUGAAUCUCUCUGACCUUCUUGUCGCCGUCAAGAUCUCACGCCAUCUCGCUGAGCUCUGUUGAUAUCUCUAUUACAGCGUUGCUUGCCGUCAUCUGCCACUUCCUCCAUCCAGAUUGAGAAUGAGUUCGUUGAGCAGUGCGGUGCGAGAUCUUCAACGCGAAUUAGAGAACAAAACCAAUGAUCUCUCCAAGCUUCAAAAGGAUAUUGCAAAGAAUCACCAAGUUA